rnacentral:rRNA from 1 species
AUUGAACGCUGGCGGCAGGCCUAACACAUGCAAGUCGAACGCGUGGCGGACAGGCGAGUAAUGUCUGGGAAUCUGCCAGAUGGAGGGGGAUAACUACUGGAAACGGUAGCUCAUACCGCAUACCCUCGGAUGCUCCCAGAUGGGAUUAGCUAGUAGGUGGGGUAAAGGCUCACCUAGGGGACGAUCCCUAGCUGGUCUGAGAGGAUGACCAGCCACACUGGAACUGAGACACGGUCCAGACUCCUACGGGAGGCAGCAGUGGGGAAUAUUGCACAAUGGGCGCAAGCCUGAUGCAGCCAUGCCGCGUGUAUGAAGAAGGCCUUCGGGUUGUAAAGUACUUUCAGCGGGGAGGCGUUACCCGCAGAAGAAGCACAGGCUAACUCCGUGCCAGCAGCCGCGGUAAUAC